rnacentral:lncRNA from 1 species
AGUUUCAUUUAAAAUACAUUUAGGCACCUUUGGAGCUUGGAUUUUGGAAUGUUUCAGUAGUGGACAGAAAUCUGCUGUUGGAAUCUUCUAGUCUUCCAGGUUUAAUUUGAAAUGUUUUUAGUUUUGUUUUGGAUUUUUGUGUGGUAUUUUAUUUCCUUUAUACCAAUGCCAUUUUGCCAUGUUGUUUUGGGGUGGCUGCCUAACUCUAGUGAAAAUUCUUUCUAUAUUAAUGAAAGUUUGGCCUUUGAAGAUCCUUAAUGUUUUGCAUUUUUUACAUUGUUUUUAAAGAAAUAUUCUAACUGCUUGCACUGUUACUGUUCUUUACCAGCCUUUUCAGGAGCCAAAAAAACAAAUACAAACAAACAAAAAAAUACCCAGAGAAAAAACUUUCCUUCUUCCCCCUUCCUGAUGAUGAGUGAGAAGUAUUGAGAACUUUCGGGGUCAGUGCCCUUCUAAACUCCCCUUCCCCCAAUAAUGCAGCUGUAUAAUGAAUGGUAAAUGCACCGGUUUGGAUUCAGGCACAGCCCCAGUCUGCCUGCAGGUAAUUUAACUCUUUCUCCUUUCUUUCCAUCACUAGGCUAACUUUCUUUUUUAAAACUUCCUUUCUUUACGUACUUUAAAAAGUAACCAUGGGUUUGUCAUAAUUCUCACUUUAAAAUAAUGCAUAAAUGUAUCUAGCAAAUAAUAUGAUUAAAGAAGAGCUUUUGGGGGUAAAGUUUGACUUGGUUAUGAUAUACUCAAGACUUUCUUGGGAAUUUUGUUUAGCCAUUUAGAUGACUCCAUUUCUUGCAUAUAUGUCUAUAAUUAAGUAUUUCAGAGUGUGAAUUUUUUGGCUUUGUUUUUGUUUUGGGUUUGUUUGUUUCUUCCAUUGUGCUACUCUGGCUUAAGCUUUUUCAGGGGUUGGUGUUCCGAAUACACAGUGAGCUCACAGUAUAAAGACAUCAAUUAGGAGUUGACAGGUAUGGAAAACUAGAGUUUUGAAAGGUAAAAUUAGGCUCUAGGUUAUAUAUAUGGUAAAAACUCAACAUAGCAUUCAUUUUACCUUAGUGCUUCUCUCUGUGACUUUAUAAAAGUGAAAGGGAAUAGUAAGACGAAGAUAAUACAAAAAAAUUUAGUUCUUUUAGGAGCAAUGUGAUUUCAGAACUAAUCGUUUUAGCAUUUCUAAGAUACUAGUUCUAACAAGGAGAUGUGAUCAGUUUGAGAUUAUCAGAAAAUCAUGGUUUAAACCUUCAAAAAUUACAGGUUUGAACAGAUAGGAGGACAUUUCUGAAGCACAAGAUGGCUAAGCACGUUAACCAAGGACAUAAAAUGUCAGGGAUAGGACUACAACUCGUCCAUUUUAAUAGCCUUUCUGUUAGGUAAUAAACUAAACUAUCCUCUCCUCUGUCUUUACCCCAGUCUACCUACGCAUUCUUCCUUUCUCCUAUACUUCCUAAAGUUUUAGCUCUGAGCUUUUAUUAUUUUGGGAUAUUGUCAUCUUUCUAAUAGGUAGAAUUUUAGUGAAAGUAAUCAGGACCUUUUCAAGAUAUACUUCUGCAUAAUUUCAUCCUGUGGCUUUGGACAUACUAUCCAAAGAGGCUAUACGUCCAGCAAGUCACUAGUUAGUGAAUAGGAAUUCUUGGCUUGUAAUGCCAUUUCUUGUAGCUGAAGGAAGACAUGUGAUAAGUGAUUAACCUGUUCUGUGCUUCAGUUGACUCUUAUAAGGACAGUCAUUCCCUUUAAGCAUCUUAAGACAAAAAUAUUUAUCUGUUGAAUUGGAAUUUACUAACAGAGGGAAUUUGAAUUGGAAUUUACUUCCAGCUGCACUCAUGCAAGAAUUUGUGAUGUAUACUAAAAAAUUUAAAAAGGCUCAUUCAGGAGAGCCUUGUACUCAGCAAGAGUGGCUAACAUUAGAGCAUACAGACUAUGUGAUUGUAUAAGGCAUGGAGAGUUAAACAACCUCCGGUCAGCUGCCUGUUUGAAUACCACUGACUUGUUAAGAAUGAUCUUGCUUUUAGAUUUUACCAUAUUCAAACUUAUUAGGUGAGCCUUAUAUAGCAUAUAUACCUGGCUGCUAUUGUGGGGUUUGGGAACAUGAGGGGUGGGGUGAACUGUUGUUGUUUUAGGUUUCAGUCAGACAGACAUCCCUGUGCCUCAGUUCCCAGAAGCACAGCAGGCCUCUAGGAGCAUCCGUGGGAACGGCGCAGUCCUGACAUCACCAACUCUCCUGCUCAGGCUCAUCCCAUAUACAGAGGUCAAAGGGUGGGGUUUGAGAUUGGGGGAAGGAAUGAGAAAGUAGAAGCAAUGUCACUUCAGUGCCACUGUUGACUAGUCUUUGGUGCUUAUGUCAGUAUUUGUUUUAUUUCCUGAUUUUUUAAAGUUGGCAAAACUACAUAUUUUUAUCUUGAUGAAGGCAGUGGGAGGGUGGAACAAAAGCCAUUACUGCUAUUUCUAGUUCAUUACCGGAGGACUGUCCCUUAAUAGCUAAUGUAGAAUAAAUUUGAAACAUAGACCUAGAUGGCAAAAAGAAUGGGAAUAGAAAUGAAUCUCAGGAUUUGAACAAACAGAAGACGUUUAUGCUGUGUUGAUCCCCAGUUCUACAACUGCUAUUACAUUUGUCAUUCUGUCUCCCCUUUUCCCCUAAUUCUUUUAUGUAUGUAUGUAUACAGUUUGAGGAAAUGUGCAUCUAUGGUCAGUCCUUUUUAAAAGACUUAAUGAAUUUAUUACUCUUUUGCAAAAAAUAUACCCACUGCUUAUAUGGGCAUACAAAUGCUACCCUAUUUUAAAUGUAGGUGGCGUAUGUGUUCGUGUUUUAAUGUAUUCAGAGCCAUUGGGCAAUAAGCAGUCCAGAACAUUGAAAACUCAAGCAGGUAAAGCACCUAACACCCUUAGUUUCUAGAAUUACUUUAAAAAACUUUUAUAUUGCUGCAUCUUCCACAGUUCUUUGGGUAGUCUCUGAACUUAAAAUUUGUAGGAGUUGUAGACUACCUAAAUUUUUAAGUUAUGGUAUUUGUUCAUAGGUUGUAGGGGUAGGUAAAGAAGGAAACAGAUAAGAAAAUGGCUUCUUGAGGUGGCAGCUGCUGAGUGGCUAAAUCUUACCACUUUCUUUCUACUUUUUUUGGAAAUUUUCCCAGCUUAGCAUGAACAUGGAUCAUACAGUGUUUGAUUUUAUGUGAUUGAGAUUUUUGUUUUUUAUUUUUGGAGGGAAGGUCUUGGAGAAACAUUAAAAAGUUGGUGUAUUUGCAAAAAUACGAAAUGUUAAAGGAAUUUUUUCUUAUUUAAUCUGAAUGGUAAGCAAGAACUUUUUCUAUAUACCCUUCUGCUGCAGCAGACAACUAAACUGGUAGGUGGCAGCAGAGGAAGGAAUUCUUCAGAUUGAUGGCUACUGACUUAAAGUCUGCAUAGGAGAAGAGAUAGAGCAUGACAUACCAAGUGAAGCAAGGGGGACAAAAAUGGAAACAGGAGUAAGAUUCCUGCAUUUUGACUCUAAAUGGUUCUUUUGAAGUAACCAGUGAUCUUUUUUGCUUACCCUCAUCAACAGAAUGGAUGAAGAUAGAUUUGACUGUGUGCUUUUUCAAGUGGAGAAUAUGAAUAUACAGAACAAGAAAGCAAUAACUCCAACCUGUUUGAUUCCGUCUGUUUUCUAAAUAAAGAAAGACACCAUG